UAAUGCUCUUAGGCGUCUGUGCCGGCCGGCACCGACGUGAGUCCGUCGUCGACCGAUCUGCCUCCACUCCGCCUAAGAGGCGCAGAGUUCUCAGAGAGCUGGGCCAGAUCUAUCAAUGGAAGGGGAAUACUAUGAUUCCCUGGUCGCACGAUUUGGCGAACAAGGAUCCCUCAUCGAAGGAUUCGGGAGGGAAGCCGAAGGUCCGGACGCAUAUCGGACACAGCUUCGUCAGCGGAUGUCCCAGGAUUUCCUGUUGAGGAACCUGGAAGAGCGGAGGCGAGCCGCCGACUAUGUAUGCAGUGACCCAGCCUCUAAAAAGGCCAUGUUGGGUCUGCAGGUGCUGACCGUGGGAGAAACAAGGGAACAGGACUGCGCCGUAUGCCUCGAGAAAUUCAUCGACGGCGGCAAGAAGCUCAGGAUGAUGCCCUGCUACCACUCCUUCCAUCAGCGAUGCAUCUUCGACUGGCUUCGCCUUAAUCGCAUCUGCCCUGUCUGCCGCUUCGCGCUGGCCCCACAGUCAGACGACGACAACAAUAACAAGGAGCUGGGACUGCCUGAGAAAGUCGAAUAGCUCGACAGUUUGCCGGAAGUUGAAUUGGAGUGUGCAGCCCUUUCAAGCCACGACUGUGCUAGCAGGUUGUAUUCAUCUUCUUUUCUGUUAUGUUCUGUUUUUUUAUUGGAUUACCGAUCAAAAGCUUGUAGUUUGAACCAAAAUUACUUUUCUCAGCUUGAAACUUAGUAGCUCUUCUCUCUGUUAUGUACAAUACAAGCAAAAUUUCAUCUUUAUGCAUCAAACCUUCAUUUUCUCUA